rnacentral:rRNA from 1 species
AGAGUUUGAUCCUGGCUCAGAGUGAACGCUGGCGGCAGGCCUAAUACAUGCAAGUCGAACGGCAGCACAGCAGAGCUUGCUCUGUUGGGUGGCGAGUGGCGGACGGGUGAGGAAUACGUGGGAAUCUGCCCAGUCGUGGGGGAUAACGUAGGGAAACUUACGCUAAUACCGCAUGCGCCCUUCGGGGGAAAGCCGGGGACCUUCGGGCCUGGCGCGAUUGGAUGAGCCCACGUCGGAUUAGCUAGUUGGCGGGUAAAGGCCCACCAAGGCGACGAUCCGUAGCUGGGUCUGAGAGGAUGAUCAGCCACACUGGAACUGAGACACGGUCCAGACUCCUACGGGAGGCAGCAGUAGGGAAUAUUGGACAAUGGGCGCAAGCCUGAUCCAGCCAUGCCGCGUGAGUGAAGAAGGCCCUCGGGUUGUAAAGCUCUUUUGUCCGGAAAGAAAAGCGCCGGGUUAAUACCCUGGUGUCCUGACGGUACCGGAAGAAUAAGCACCGGCUAACUUCGUG